rnacentral:rRNA from 1 species
UACGUAGGUGGCGAGCGUUGUCCGGAUUUACUGGGCGUAAAGAGCGCGCAGGCGGUCGGUCAAGUCGCGUGUGAAAGCCCCCGGCUCAACUGGGGAGGGUCACGCGAUACUGAUCGACUCGAAGGCAGGAGAGGGUAGUGGAAUUCCCGGUGUAGUGGUGAAAUGCGUAGAUAUCGGGAGGAACACCAGUGGCGAAGGCGACUACCUGGGGUGCUCUUGACGCUGAGGCGCGAAAGCUAGGGGAGCAAACGGG